CGCCAUGUCUCCGUGUAGCUGUUAGUUGUCCGAAGGAAAGCAGGGCUGGGACUGGGGAACGUGUCAGCUUAUGUUCUCUCUCCUCCUUGUUUCAGUAGCUCUGUUUCCUUCAGCUAGGCCUUCUUGCCCAGGUGGUAAAGCUCUUUGGCUGAUAUGGGUGACAACGAUGAGAACAAAGAACUGAAGCAGAAGUUAAACUUUUCCUGUUGUGAAGAGGAUCAUGAGAAUGAGGGGCAGAAGGAAGCACAGGAGACCAAGGAGGCCCAGACUCAAACCCCAGAGACGCCUAGAGGUCAGGAUUCAGAGGCGAAGCUUACACCUCCCAGGACGCCCCUUGGUAACGAAUGUGACCUCAGCGCACUUCACGAAAGAGACCAAGAGAGUCCAGGUCAGGGUCUCGGGACUCCAGUGUCACACUCCCUCGCACGCCCUGAAACACCACCAGUCCCACCAGACAAAAGCAGGCCGUCACACUGCGAGAGCCCCUUCACUCCCAAAGGCCAGGUGAGCCAGUCAAUGAUUUCUUCAACAGGGAAGCCUCUCCCCCGAAGCUCUAAGCAUCUGAAGCUCACACCCGGCCCCUUCAUUGAUGAGAUGAGCUCAUUGGCUCUGGUCAACAUUAAUCCCUUCACUCCGGAGUCCUAUAGAAAACAAUUCCUUAAAUCCAAUGGCAAGAGGAAAACCCGUGGCGAUAUUGAGGAAUCCAGUCCAGGAGAAGGCAAGGGAGAACACGGGCUGCCUGCUAAGAGAUGUGUUUUACGAGAAACCAACAUGGCUUCCCGCUAUGAAAAAGAAUUCUUGGAGGUAGAAAAAAUUGGGGUCGGGGACUUUGGUACAGUCUACAAGUGCAUUAAGAGGCUGGAUGGAUGUGUUUAUGCAAUAAAACGCUCCACGAAACCUUUGGGAGGAUUAUCAGAUGAGACUCUGGCUAUGCAUGAAGUUUAUGCCCAUGCGGUGCUGGGACACCACCCCCACGUGGUGCGUUACUACUCUGCGUGGGCAGAAGAUGACUACAUGAUCAUUCAAAAUGAAUACUGCAAUGGUGGGAGCUUGCAGGCUGCAGUAACUGAAAACGCAAAGUCUGGCAAUCAUUUCCCAGAGCCCAGACUCAAGGACAUCCUUCUACAGAUUUCCCUCGGGCUCAAAUACAUCCACAACUCCGGCAUGGUGCACCUGGACAUCAAGCCCAGUAACAUUUUCAUUUGUCAUAAGAUGCAAAGCGACUCCCCCGAAGUCCUGGAACAGGCUGAAAAUGAAGCUGAUUGGUUUCUCUCUGCUGAUGUGAUGUAUAAAAUUGGUGACUUGGGUCAUGUGACAUCAAUAAGCAAUCCCAAAGUGGAAGAGGGGGACAGUCGCUUCCUGGCUAACGAGAUUUUGCAAGAGAAUUAUCAGCACCUCCCCAAAGCAGACAUAUUUGCCUUGGGGUUGACCAUAGCGGUGGCUGCGGGAGCAGAGCUGUUGCCCACCAAUGGCGCUGAGUGGCAUCACAUUCGUGAGGGGAACCUUCCAUACAUUCCUCAGGAGCUCUCCAAGGAAUUCCACCAACUACUCGAGAGCAUGAUCCACCCUGAUCCAGCAGAGAGACCAUCUGCAGCAGCUCUGGCCAAGAGUCGAGUCCUCUGUCCCUCCCUGGGGAAAACAGAAGAGCUUCAGCACCAGUUGAACUUGGAAAAGUUCAAGACAGCCACACUACAAAGGGAACUGAAAGAAGCCCAGCAGGCCCAGUCCCCCAAGGAUAGCCACAGUGUCCCCGGGGUCUCUGAUACCCCCACCGGGUCAAGGAGUGCCAAACGUCUGGUAGGAGGAAAGAGUGCCAAGUCUUCAAGCUUCACCUCGGGGCAGAAUUCCCCAUAAGAACGUCUCUCCCAUCAACUUACUCUUUAUCCCCAAAAUAGAUACUGGCUGUGUCGACCUUUCUUGUGUAAAGGGAGGAACUAACAGACUUGAGAGGCUGAAGGUUUCAAGAGCCACUCUAAUUUAGCAUUUUCAGCCAAGAUCCUACAGCCACCAAGGCUUCCAAGCAGCACUGGUGGCAGGUACUACCAUUAGCAGCUGUUUUUCUUCUCUUGUUACAUCCCUAACACCACCUGUCAACAGCUCAGUGACUCCUCAGAUUUGCUGAUGGUCAACGGGAAAGCAUGGGCCUCUGAACUGAAAGCAGCCGCCCCCCACUCCCCUGCAGCCCCUGCAGCCUGUGGACUACGAGGCUUCCUACCUACCUGCCUACCAACCAAGGAUCCCAGGGACUCUCCUGGCACACAGAAAGAAAGUCAAUUUUGUUUAGAGUUGAGGUAGCAUUUUUAUAAGGAAGUAUGCCUGGAUUUCAACAACACUUCCCAGGGAAAGAACUCUUCUGAUGAUGAAGACAGAACAAAGCAACACUGAAGUAUCUGCCAUGUUGGGAAGGAGGAUCUAUUUGAUAACAGAAGAUGUUUUAACUCCAUUCUGUCAUGAUAUCAUACAUCUUAAUAUAAUUUUCUUUGUCAAAGAAGACAGCACUUGCCACUUUCUCCAGCCAACAAAGAAGAAUGUGAAUUGAUAAUUCCCGUCUGAGAGAGAAUUCAGAUUAGCCCAGAUUCCCCACUAAGAUAUUUCAUAAAGUUUUGCGUGUGACUUUCAAUUUGCACGGUGCUUUCUGCUUUUUAAAAUAAACUUUUCCACAUUCUUUUCUCCAAAGUGUUUGUGAACAGAAGGAAAGAGGGAGUGAUUUGAGGCCUAAUAAAGAACUUUUAAGGCCAAGUGAUUGGAUGUGGAUGAGCAGAUGUGGGUGAUCAGGAAGAAGUUUCAAAGGUGAUUUCAAGUUCAGGUCUGGCAGAAUCUUGGCACCAUUAAAACACACAAGGCACUUAGAAGAGGGAAAUUGGCUUUGAAGGAAAUCUGGUUUUUCACUUGACUCAACAGCUCAAGUGAAAGUAGGAUUUUAAAAUAGGAAGUCAUCAGAGGGUGAGUUACAGUAGUAAAUGGGGGCAUGUAGGAUGAUUAAUGUCUGAGCAAGGCCUGAAGGCAAUUAACAUGGUAUGUUUCCAGGACAAAACAUGUUGAAGGUGGAAGUAAAAUAGGUAAGCAUCAUGAAAUAUACCAACUAGGAAGUCAUACUAUUAAGACUGGGUUAAGGUAUGUGUUGGAAACCACAUGAAAUAGUUGAUAUUUUUUCCUUUUAGGGCAAAAAUGGGCCGUUGAAGAGUUUUAAGUAGGGUUCUGAGGAGAUUUGCUGAUUAGGAUGACGUGGCUGUACCUUUUCUAGAAGUUGGACAGUGUCAGGACCAGAUGAUGGAGAGCCCUGGGCAGGUGCCCCCCAGCCUGUAUUCUGCAAUCUGUCUUCCUUCUUUCCCCUUUGUCAACAAGGCCAGGAUUAGCGGGCGCAAGACAAAAUUUAAGGGAUGGCUAGGAAACCCAGCAUUCAAGACUAAUGCUUCAUUUUAAAAUUAUUAAAAGUAAUGAAAUCCACAAUGACUUCUAAAUAAAGGCAAAAUCGGUAAGCUUAAGUUAAUUAAGAAUGCCACUUCCUCGAGAAAAAUGAUCAGAGAUGGAAAUUCUUGCAGUUGAAAAUAAGGGAAGCAAAGGCUUUUGAAAAUAUUAUCAGUUGUUAUACUUCCAAUCAAGGUAGGAAGGUAAAAUUAUAAUUUUGUUUUUGGUAUUAAAAAAUAAGUGUUGUGAGUUUUAAUACACCUAAUUUUUAAAUAUUCAAUAUUUCUUCAAGUACUUUAAUGUUCUGGGAAAAAAAUGUUCAAAUGCAUAACUUGUACAUAGGCGUGCACGUUUUUCCUGGUGCCUUAGGAAUCUACUUGGCUCAUAUACUGUAUUUAAUACAAGUUAUAUUUUAUUCACGGAUUUGUUCCUUAAUUCUGACUUUAAAAUAUUGCACUAAUAUUUAUUUUGAUACUCCCCCCCCCCUUUUUUUGUGACCCUUAAAUUUUGCACUUUCGGCUCUUUCCCCAUUCCUUUUUCUGUUUUGUUUUUAUUUGUUACUGUUUUUUUCUUCUUGUUUUUGGAGGCUUGAUCCUUUCUAGUUUUUCCAGAGGCACAGCUAUCCUUUGUUUCGCUCACGUUGCCGAGUCCUGGGCGGACCUCGGAAACUCUUCAAAUACAGUAAUUUCAUUUCAUUACAAAGUUAAAAUCAGGUUAGCGCGCCAAUAGGCAGUGUUGAUAUAUUGCUCCCGCCGGAAGGAGGCUCCCGGAGCUACCGCGUUAAGGGGGCGUGUUUCCCGCAGCGCCGGCUGGCUGCAUUUUCACGAUGCACGCAGAGGACUUUCCGGUUCUUCCUUCUCGCGAGCCUUGAGUCCCGGCAGCACCCGGAAGCGAUUCCCUGCCUGGAGGCUGUGCGGACCAGAGUCUCAGGAAAAGACUAAAGAUUAGAUUGGAAGAAGAGAGAGUAGAAGCCAUGUUUCGAAGACCUGUAGUACAGGUCUUGAUUUUUGUGUGCCCCCAGUGGGACAGAUUAUUAUUCCAUAAAACAUGUGAGCUCUGGCUCAUCUGAGCAUCAGGUACUUCGUCAGUUUGUAAGACAUGAGUCUGAAGUAGCUAGCAGUUUGGUUCUCGAAAGAUCUCUGAAUCGCGUGCAGUUGCUUGGUCGAGUAGGUCAGGACCCUGUCAUGAGACAGGUAGAAG